AUCCAGCUGGGGAGCAGCUCUGUGGAAAUGGACCUGGGGGUCCUGGUAGCCAACAAGCUCCAUAGGAGUGAGCAGGGCGCUGCUGUGGCCAAGAAGGCCAACAGGGUGCUGAGGUGCAUCAACAAGGGCAUCACCAGCAGAGGUAAAGAAUUCAUAAUCCCACUCUACUCAGUGCUUGUCAGGCCACACCUGGAAUACUGGGUACAGUUCUGGUG